GUCGCGCGCGAGGCGUGAGGCGGUGCUGAGGAUCUGAGGCCACGGGCAGCCAGACGCCGGGACUGUCCAGCGAACGAGCAAGCCAGCGAGUGAGCGAGCGGCGGGAACCCGCAGCCACAGCAGCCCCGGAGCCACAGCCGCAGCCGCCGUCCGCGGAGCCCAGCCCAACCGGCCAUGGCGCUGUCGAUGCCCCUGAACGGGCUGAAGGAGGAGGACAAAGAGCCCCUCAUCGAGCUCUUCGUCAAGGUGAGCGCUCACCGUCCCGAGCGACGCGGGCUGACGUCCCCGCACCCCGAAGCGCCCCCACGCGGCAUCCCCGCAGCCCGAGGCGGCGCCGUACCUCCCGCGCUCAUUCCCAUUGUCUGGGCUCCGCGCCUUCCCGCCUCGCAGCGGGACCUUGGCGGACCCUGCGGGCGCGGCGACAGGGAGGCGACUCCGCAGGGCGGGACGCGCCUCAGCUGCGCCGCGUGGGUACUGUCACCCUCCUCGCCGUGUCCGACCCCACCCCGCCGCGAGCCCCAGCCUCGGGCCGCGGGGCUGAUAGCUCACCCAACUUACUGGAACGCUAGCGCCUGGCCCGGGUGAAACUGAAACUUUAACUUUGAUACAAUGUUAAAUAAAGUAAAGGGGAGGAGGGACCCGGGAGCCGUAAACCCAGCAGUUGGGAAAAGUGGUCUAGGGAAGAUCCCGAGUUCAGAGCCAGCCUUGGCUGCUUAGUAAACCCAGGGCAAGCCUGGGAUAGGAGGGACCCUCAUCCCAGCCCUCCUCCCGCAUGGGGGAGGGGAGAAUUUUUUUAAUGCGGGCGUGGUGACUCGGCUAUGACCCAGCAGUAGAGGCUUGAGGAGUCCCUCGAGUUCGAGGCCAGCCUGGGUUACAAAUGUGAGCCUCCGGACACACACCCAAAACCCAGGCAACUAACUGC
rnacentral:lncRNA from 1 species